UAUAGCAAUAGCUACUUGCAUCAUUCUAAAUAUGAUGCAAGAUCGACUAUGUCGAAUAAAAUUCUAGGUAGAAUUAUGAUAAUGACAUUGUCUGCCUAUGUGUCUUGACCAAAUUACGUGCCAGCAGUCGCGGUAAUACGUAGAAGACUAGUGUUAUUCAUGUUUAAUCGGUUUAAAGGGUACCUAGACGGUAAAUCAAGCCUAAAAGGAAAUAAAUGAAGGGACUAAUUUACUAGAGUUACUUAUGAGGGGGUAUUAAAGUACUGCUGGUGUAGAGAUGAAAUUCUGUCAUACCUCUUUUCAAUAGAAAAAUAAUGGCACAGGUAUAGGCGAAAGCAUCCCCUUAUGUGAUAACUGACGUUGAGGGACGAAGGCUUUGUGUAGCGAACAGGAUUAGAUACCCCAGUAGUCAAAGCAGAAAAUGAUGAAUGUCAUAGAUUAGAUAUAUAAGUUUAUUCUAUAAAUGAAAGUGUAAGCAUUCCACCUCAAGAGUAAUUUGGCAACAUUGGAACUGAAAUCAUUAGACCGUUUCUGAAACCAGUAGUGAAGUAUGUUGUUUAAUUUGAUGAUCCGCAAAAAACCUUACCACAAUUUGAAUAUUUAUAUCUUUUAUUGUUUUUCUUUUUAACUUUCUUCUGAUUUUCUACUUAAAAGAAAACAAUAACAAGAAAAAAGAGGCAAUAAGAUAUAUUUACAAGCGUUGCACGGCUGUCUUCAGUUAAUGUCGCGAGACUCUGGUUAGUUCCAUUAAAUUAACGUAAACCCUUACUUUAUUUUUAUAUAGAGUAGUUCCCCGCUAUAUUGGAUAUGAUAACAGGGACUAAGACAAGUCAUCA
rnacentral:rRNA from 1 species